GAUGAACGCUGGCGGCGUGCCUAACACAUGCAAGUCGAACGACAGGUAUUCAUCUCAUUUCGGUGAGAAGGAUAUGCUGAGUGGCGAACGGGUGAGUAAGACGUGGGAACGUACCCUGAAGGAAGGGAUAGCGACUCGAAAGGGUCGGUAAUACCUUAUAAGCCCGAGAGGGGAAAGGUGCAAAUGCAUCGCUUUGGGAGCGGCUCACGGCCCAUUAGCUAGUUGGUGAGGUAAAGGCCCACCAAGGCGACGAUGGGUAGCUGGUCUGAGAGGAUGGUCAGCCACACUGGGACUGAGACACGGCCCAGACUCCUACGGGAGGCAGCAGUGGGGAAUUUUUCGCAAUGGGCGAAAGCCCGACGGAGCGACGCCGCGUGGAGGAUGAAGUCCUUCGGGACGUAAACUCCUGUUGUAAGGGAACAAGGAGUGCGGGGGUGGAAAAUCCGCACUUAGAUGGUACCUUACGAGGAAGCCCCGGCCAACUACGUGCCAGCAGCCGCGGUAACACGUAGGGGGCAAGCGUUGUCCGGAAUUACUGGGCGUAAAGGGUGCGUAGGCGGCUUUUUAAGUCGGGUGUGAAAUAUCAUGGCUCAACCAUGGAAGUGCACUCGAAACUGGAAAGCUUGAGGUCAAGUAAGGGAGACGGAAUUGCCAGUGUAGGGGUGAAAUCCGUAGAUAUUGGCAAGAACGCCAGUGGUGAAGACGGUCUCCUGUACUGAUACUGACGCUGAGGCACGAAAGCUAGGGGAGCGAACGGGAUUAGAUACCCCGGUAGUCCUAGCUGUAAACGAUGUUCACUAAGUGUGGGGCACUGAAGUGCUCCGUGCUGCAGCAAACGCGAUAAGUGAACCGCCUGGGGAGUACGACCGCAAGGUUGAAACUCAAAGGAAUUGACGG
rnacentral:rRNA from 1 species